CCCCUAGAUGUUCUGGGCCGCACGCGCGCUACACUGAACAGUUCAACAAGUCUUAACCUUGGCCGAUAGGUCUGGGUAAUCUUUGAACGCUGUUCGUGAUUGGGAUAGACCUUUGCAAUUAUGGGUCUUCAACGAGGAAUUCCUAGUAAACGCAAGUCAUCAGCUUGCAUUGAUUACGUCCCUGCCCUUUGUACACACCGCCCGUCGCUCCUACCGAUUGAGUGCUCAGGUGAAUAAUUCGGACUGCAGCAGUGUUUGGAUCCCGAACGCUGCAGCGGAAAGUUUAGUGAACCUUNUNACUUAGNGGAAGGAGAANUCGUANCA
rnacentral:rRNA from 1 species